rnacentral:rRNA from 1 species
UAUGCUUGUUGGUGAGGUAACGGCUCACCAAGGCGAAGAUCGGUAGCCGGCCUGAGAGGGCACACGGCCACACUGGCACUGAAACACGGGCCAGACUCCUACGGGAGGCAGCAGUGGGGAAUCUUGCACAAUGGGGGAAACCCUGAUGCAGCGACGCCGCGUGAGCGAUGAAGCCCUUCGGGGUGUAAAGCUCUUUCGACGGGAACGAUAAUGACGGUACCCGGAGAAGAAGCUGCGGCUAACUACGUGCCAGCAGCCGCGGUAAUACGUAGGCAGCGAGCGUUGUUCGGAGUUACUGGGCGUAAAGAGUAUGUAGGCGGUUGCGCAAGUUUGGUGUGAAAUCUCCCGGCUCAACUGGGAGGGUGCGCCGAAAACUGCGUGGCUAGAGUGCGGGAGAGGAGAGCGGAAUUCCUGGUGUAGCGGUGAAAUGCGUAGAUAUCAGGAGGAACACCGGUGGUGUAGACGGCUCUCUGGACCGCGACUGACGCUGAGAUACGAAAGCGUGGGGAGCAAACAGGAUUAGAUACCCUGGUAGUCCACGCCCU